rnacentral:misc_RNA from 1 species
UCACCCCUCAAGCCCCGUGCUUGGUGUUGGACGGCCCGGUCGAGGUUACUCGACCCCUCCUAAAGACAAUGACGGCGGCCUGUGGUUCCCCCGGUACACUGAGCUUUUAACUGAGCACGUAUCGGAUAAGGGCGCCCGGGACACGGUCCUCUCCUUUAACUAGGAAACUUUUACAAGG